CUUGCAAGUGUAGCCAAGCCCUCAGCUACUUUCCUCUGCCUCACAUUGUUUGAAAUGCCCCUUCAAAACAUCUUAAAUGACAUCAAACAAGGAAAUUUCCAGGAAAAGUUGAGAUACAGGAUUAGUUGCUCUCAUUACCAGGUUAUAUUUUCCACGUAACUGGCAAAACAAAUGGAAGCUGUCAAGAAUAGCUGUUUGAACGACAUGUCAAUGUGCCUCUUUCCCGCUGAUCUAUCCUACUAUAUUGGCAAGGAACUUUUAUUCCCAGAGGAAGCUACAAUUGUUUUUCAGUGCAUAUGUUCCAGCUACUAAGAACAAAGUUCAAGCUGUUUUUCCAUUGUUGUUAUUGCACUCACCUUCUAGUAAUUCAUAUGAGGUGUCACUGUUCAUACAGCACUUGUUAAGUUAAAAAAAUGGUGUGAUUAGAUGACUUCUAACCGUAUACAAAGUGUUUCACUUCUAUGGCAUGCUUUAAUUGCAUACGGCCAAUCUAAACCUAGCUUCUCUGUAUGGUAGUGUUAACACUACAAAGUCAGGGAACUGGCAUACAACAUUACAAACAAAGUGUUCAGAUACUGUAAUAGCAGUGUCUGGUUACAGAUCUCUGUUACAUGACAGGAGUAACUUUAACAACCCUAUUCCAGGACUUAUGACUGGGACCUAUCGAUCUAAGGUAUUUAUAUGGCCCUGUUACCAUAGUAUCUG